UGGUUUUUCGUGUACGUAAACUGUCUUAUCAAAAAAAAUACUUUCAAUCAUUUUAUAAACUGACAUCAAGUCACAAAUUCUUUAUUAGACUUUUCAACGGUUUUACAAAACUUCCUUAUGCUUUUAUAUUAUAAAUUGCAUGUCUCUAUAUGUAUAGUUAUAUAAGAAAUGUUUAAAAGACUUAGAAAGGCUAUCCACCCUAUUUCCUUUUCGCGCCUUGAGAUGUGGUCUGGUGGGAUAUUGGGUAUUCGUCCAAAAGUCGUUUAAAUAUUAGUUAUAUAUCAUGUAUACAUAUAUGGUCAUAAAUGUUCCAUCAGUUAAUUUAGUUCCGAUACUCUUGGGUAGCAAUGGUGUAUAAACCUACUUGGACGCUCAUCAAUUACAUUCUAGUAAACUAUUAUAGGAAUAGUUUAGAGUAAACAAAACAUUUUCCCUACUACAAGAAAUUACACCGGAGUCAGUUCAUUCAUGAGUCUAGACUACAUGUUAUAUGAAAGAAUACUCUUACAUGAAUACUUAUACAUGAAUACUUUUACAUAGACAUUAUAUGGCAAAUUACUACUACAUGUUAUAUGAAAGAAUACUCUUACAUGAAUACUUAUACAUGAAUACUUUUACAUAGACAUUAUAUGGCAAAUUACUACUACAUGUUAUAUGAAAGAAUACUCUUACAUGAAUACUUAUACAUGAAUACUUUUACAUAGACAUUAUAUGGCAGAUUACUACUACAUGUU
rnacentral:lncRNA from 1 species